UCUGCCCGCAGUGUCUCAGAUUCAUUCUUAAGGAACUGAGAACUUAAUCUUCCAAAAUGUCAACAAAGACCAUCCCACCCCAGCUCCUGCAACACAAAUGCCCAGCACACCAGGGUUUGUGGGAUACAAUCCAUACAGUCAUCUUGCCUACAACUACAGGCUGGGAGGGAACCUGGGCACCAACAGCCGGGUCACGGCGUCCUCUGGUAUUACAAUUCCAAAACCCCCAAAGCCACCAGAUAAGCCACUGAUGCCCUACAUGAGGUACAGCAGAAAGGUCUGGGGCCAAGUAAAGGCUUCCAGUCCUGACCUAAAGUGGGAAACAGGCAAGAUUAUUGGCGGCAUGUGGCAAGAUCUCACUGAUGAAGAGAAACAAGAAUAUUUAAACGAGUACAAAGCAGAAAAGAUAGAGUACAAUGAAGCUAUUAAGGUCUAUCAUAAUUUCCCCGCAUACCUUGCUUACAUAAAUGCAAAAAGUAGUGCAGAAGCCGCUUUAGAGGAAAAAAGUCAACAGAGACAGUCUCGCAUGGAGAAAGAAGAACCUUACAUGAGCAUUCAGCCUGCUGAAGAUAUAGACG